GACGAACGCUGGCGGCGUGCCUAAUACAUGCAAGUAGAACGCUGAAGAGAGGAGCUUGCUCUUCUUGGAAGAGUUGCGAACGGGUGAGUAACGCGUAGGUAACCUGCCUUGUAGCGGGGGAUAACUAUUGGAAACGAUAGCUAAUACCGCAUAACAAUGGGUGACCCAUGUCAUUCAUUUGAAAGGGGCAACUGCUCCACUACAAGAUGGACCUGCGUUGUAUUAGCUAGUAGGUGAGGUAACGGCUCACCUAGGCGACGAUACAUAGCCGACCUGAGAGGGUGAUCGGCCACACUGGGACUGAGACACGGCCCAGACUCCUACGGGAGGCAGUAGUAGGGAAUCUUCGGCAAUGGGGGCAACCCUGACCGAGCAACGCCGCGUGAGUGAAGAAGGUUUUCGGAUCGUAAAGCUCUGUUGUAAGUCAAGAACGAGUGUGAGAGUGGAAAGUUCACACUGUGACGGUAGCUUACCAGAAAGGGACGGCUAACUACGUGCCAGCAGCCGCGGUAAUACGUAGGUCCCGAGCGUUGUCCGGAUUUAUUGGGCGUAAAGCGAGCGCAGGCGGUUUGAUAAGUCUGAAGUUAAAGGCUGUGGCUCAACCAUAGUUCGCUUUGGAAACUGUCAAACUUGAGUGCAGAAGGGGAGAGUGGAAUUCCAUGUGUAGCGGUGAAAUGCGUAGAUAUAUGGAGGAACACCGGUGGCGAAAGCGGCUCUCUGGUCUGUAACUGACGCUGAGGCUCGAAAGCGUGGGGAGCGAACAGG
rnacentral:rRNA from 1 species